CAUACAGUGUGCCAUUUCGGUAUUUCAUCUCUCUCUCUCUCUCUCUCUCUGAUGAGCCAUCGUCUCCAAAACAUCAACCCUCUUCGCUGGAGUGCCAUCCGCGAUCACCGUUCUAUUCCCUUUAACUUCAAUUCCAGGAUUUGGUGUAGUAGUAAUAACAAUUGGAAUCAAACUGAGAUGGAACAAGGAGGUGUUGGGGCCUCAAAUGGUUUUCCAGAGGUUGUGGUGGGUGACCCGGAAUUGCUUGAGAAGAAGAAGGCCUCAAUUCGGCUUGCUGGUCCGGCAAAACUCCAGGUCAUUGCAGAUUUUGAUGCCACACUAACAAAGUACUGGAUUAACGGCCAUCGAGGGCAAAGCAGUCAUGGCCUUCUGCAACAGGGGAAUCCUGAAUAUGAUUUCAAGAGACAGAAAUUAUAUGAAUACUAUCAUCCAUUGGAAUUCAACCCAACAAUUCCCCUUGAUGAGAAGGCAAAGCUCAUGGAAGAGUGGUGGGGAAAAACCCAUGCUCUUCUUGUAGAGGGAGGCCUUACAUAUGACGCAAUAGAAAGUUCGGUGGCUAAUGCCAGAAUUGCAUUUAGGGAGGGAGUUGUUGAACUUUUUGAGUUUUUGGAGGAGAAAGAGGUUCCUGUACUUAUAUUUUCUGCAGGGCUUGCAGAUAUCAUUGAAGAGGUCCUUAGGCAGAAAUUGCCUAGAUCUUUCAAAAAUGUUAAGAUUGUUUCAAACCGCAUGGUAUUUGAUCAUAGUGGCCAACUGGUAUCUUUUAAAGGGAAGACCAUUCAUGUUUUAAAUAAGAAUGAGCAUGCUCUUGAUAUGGCUGCCCCUGUUCAUGAUCAAUUGGGUGAUACCAAUGGGCCAUUUGAUGACAAUGCCUCAGUAAAGAAGAGAACUAAUGUGCUGCUUCUUGGGGAUCACAUUGGAGACUUGGGAAUGUCUGAUGGUUUGAACUAUGAAACACGAAUAUCUGCAGGUUUCCUCUGCUGUUUCUUAUUUCUCUUCUGUCGUUCUAUUCUUGCCCUAUUCUUCUCUCCAUGCCUUUUCAGUUUGCUAUUAAUUCAAACUGGGGAGGGAAAAUAUAGAUGCAACAUACCUGGUAAUUGUCCUUCCAUUGUUGCACAUAUCUAUCACAGUAGUAUUUGACUUCCUUAAAUUUUUUCUUGCUUGCUUGUGGGUGCGUGCAUGGACGUGUGCUAAUCAAAAGCAUAGAAGGGCCAACCCUAAACCUGUGCAUUAACUCAAUGAUGGUACAAAGUGGGUUACCACAGGAUUAAUGACCAUGAGUUUGACCUUCACCCCUCCAACCCAUUAUGUACGUGCACCUACCAGGAAGUGUUAAACUCGUGCCUGUAUCCUCCUGCCCAUCUCUCUUUUGAAUCCUCUUGUAGCAUGCUGCUGCAUAUGAUAUGUUAUAGCUGCUCGCUCUUGAUUUUAAAUUUUCAAUCUGCUCCUCUUGCAGAGACUGAUUGAAUGUUGGAGGGGGAUGAUUUGAAAAUAUAAUCGCUUAACUUUACAAACUACUGAUGCAGGAAUGACAACAUUGUGAAUUCUCUUGAUAGCUACCGCAAAGCAUUCAAUGUUGUGUAUCUGAAUGACGCGCCAAUGUGGGGAGUGGUCAAACUCGUCUCUCAGCUCUGUUCAGCUCAAAAUGCUUAAACUACAAGUCGCGCCAUGCCCACUUCUUCCACUCCUGUAAGGUGCUGCUUAUGAGAAAUUCAUUGCAUCAAGUUGAUUUUUGUAGGCUCAAGCACUGCAAAAUGGAUUUGUGCUUUUGCCUGCUAGUAGUGAGACUUAGAAUAGCAUUGCUUUAUGAAAUUGACAGCAACAGAGUCGUAUGUUCUGUAUUUUUUCUGGAAUACCAUUACAAUAAACCUUCAAUCCAUAUGGUGAAUUUAUCUCCA